rnacentral:lncRNA from 1 species
UAGCGAAUUGUUUCCCUUUGAAAUCAACAUGUCAUUGUCGGUGGAUACCUGUCUGAAACUGGGUCAGAGAAUACAUGCAGUUAUUGCUCUGAAUAUACACGGACAUUUAAAGUGCAUGGCGGAUUUAAUAAUUGUUAUGGAUAACCUCCAGCAGUAAGAAAUAUAAAGUCUCACUGCUGUUUUGAGUGCUCAACAAGUAUUGACCCCAUACUAUGCUCAGCAAUUAGGGCCCUUGUAUUUCUGUGAAUCCUCAUACAGUACAAUACUGCUGUUGGAAGAGGAGCAAACAGUGUGGUAUCUA